rnacentral:rRNA from 1 species
AUUGAACGCUGGCGGCAGGCCUAACACAUGCAAGUCGAACGAGUGGCGGACGGGUGAGUAAUGUCUGGGAAACUGCGUGAUGGAGGGGGAUAACUACUGGAAGCGGUAGCUAAUACCGCAUACCAUCGGAUGUGCCCAGAUGGGAUUAGCUAGUAGGUGGGGUAACGGCUCACCUAGGCGACGAUCCCUAGCUGGUCUGAGAGGAUGACCAGCCACACUGGAACUGAGACACGGUCCAGACUCCUACGGGAGGCAGCAGUGGGGAAUAUUGCACAAUGGGCGCAAGCCUGAUGCAGCCAUGCCGCGUGUAUGAAGAAGGCCUUAGGGUUGUAAAGUACUUUCAGCGGGGAGGCGUUACCCGCAGAAGAAGCACCGGCUAACUCCGUGCCAGCAGCCGCGGUAAUAC